UACGUAGGGUGCAAGCGUUAAUCGGAAUUACUGGGCGUAAAGCGUGCGCAGGCGGUUCUAUAAGACAGAUGUGAAAUCCCCGGGCUCAACCUGGGAACUGCAUUUGUGACUGUAGAGCUGGAGUACGGUAGAGGGGGAUGGAAUUCCGCGUGUAGCAGUGAAAUGCGUAGAUAUGCGGAGGUACACCGAUGGCGAAGGCAAUCCCCUGGACCUGUACUGACGCUCAUGCACGAAAGCGUGGGGAGCAAACAGG
rnacentral:rRNA from 1 species